ensembl:snRNA U6 U6 spliceosomal RNA
AUGCUCUCUUUGGCAGCACAUAUGCUAAAAUUAGAAGGAUACAGAGAACAUUAGCAUUGCCACUACACAAGGGUAGCAUGCAAAUUUGUGAAAGUAAAAAAGAACUA